GACGAACGCUUGCGGCGUGCUUAACACAUGCAAGUCGAACGGAAAGGCCCUGCUUUUGUGGGGUGCUCGAGUGGCGAAUGGGUGAGUAACACGUGAGUAACCUGCCCUUGACUUUGGGAUAACUUCAGGAAACUGGGGCUAAUACCGGAUAGGAGCUCCUGCUGCAUGGUGGGGGUUGGAAAGUUUCGGCGGUUGGGGAUGGACUCGCGGCUUAUCAGCUUGUUGGUGGGGUAGUGGCUUACCAAGGCUUUGACGGGUAGCCGGCCUGAGAGGGUGACCGGCCACAUUGGGACUGAGAUACGGCCCAGACUCCUACGGGAGGCAGCAGUGGGGAAUAUUGCACAAUGGGCGGAAGCCUGAUGCAGCAACGCCGCGUGCGGGAUGACGGCCUUCGGGUUGUAAACCGCUUUCGCCUGUGACGAAGCGUGAGUGACGGUAAUGGGUAAAGAAGCACCGGCUAACUACGUGCCAGCAGCCGCGGUGAUACGUAGGGUGCGAGCGUUGUCCGGAUUUAUUGGGCGUAAAGGGCUCGUAGGUGGUUGAUCGCGUCGGAAGUGUAAUCUUGGGGCUUAACCCUGAGCGUGCUUUCGAUACGGGUUGACUUGAGGAAGGUAGGGGAGAAUGGAAUUCCUGGUGGAGCGGUGGAAUGCGCAGAUAUCAGGAGGAACACCAGUGGCGAAGGCGGUUCUCUGGGCCUUUCCUGACGCUGAGGAGCGAAAGCGUGGGGAGCGAACAGGCUUAGAUACCCUGGUAGUCCACGCUGUAAACGGUGGGUACUAGGUGUGGGGUCCAUUCCACGGGUUCCGUGCCGUAGCUAACGCUUUAAGUACCCCGCCUGGGGAGUACGGCCGCAAGGCUAAAACUCAAAGGAAUUGACGGGGCCCCGCACAAGCGGCGGAGCAUGCGGAUUAAUUCGAUGCAACGCGUAGAACCUUACCUGGGUUUGACAUGGAUCGGGAGUGCUCAGAGAUGGGUGUGCCUCUUUUGGGGUCGGUUCACAGGUGGUGCAUGGCUGUCGUCAGCUCGUGUCGUGAGAUGUUGGGUUAAGUCCCGCAACGAGCGCAACCCUUGUUCACUGUUGCCAGCACGUUAUGGUGGGGACUCAGUGGAGACCGCCGGGGUCAACUCGGAGGAAGGUGGGGAUGACGUCAAGUCAUCAUGCCCCUUAUGUCCAGGGCUUCACGCAUGCUACAAUGGCUGGUACAGAGAGUGGCGAGCCUGUGAGGGUGAGCGAAUCUCGGAAAGCCGGUCUCAGUUCGGAUUGGGGUCUGCAACUCGACCUCAUGAAGUCGGAGUCGCUAGUAAUCGCAGAUCAGCAACGCUGCGGUGAAUACGUUCCCGGGGCU
rnacentral:rRNA from 1 species